rnacentral:rRNA from 1 species
CCUACGGGUGGCAGCAGUGGGGGAUAUUGCACAAUGGGGGAAACCCUGAUGCAGCGACGCCGCGUGGGUGAAGAAGUAUUUCGGUAUGUAAAGCCCUAUCAGCAGGGAAGAAAGAAGACGGUACCUGACUAAGAAGCCCCGGCUAACUACGUGCCAGCAGCCGCGGUAAUACGUAGGGGGGGAGCGUUAUCCGGAUUCACUGGGUGUAAAGGGAGCGUAGACGGCCGUGCAAGCCAGGAGUGAAAGCCCGGGGCCCAACCCCGGGACUGCUCUUGGAACUGUGCGGCUGGAGUGCGGGAGGGGCAGGCGGAAUUCCUGGUGUAGCGGUGAAAUGCGUAGAUAUCAGGAGGAACACCGGCGGCGAAGGCGGCCUGCUGGACCGCGACUGACGUUGAGGCUCGAAAGCGUGGGGAGCGAACAGGAUUAGAUACCCCAGUAGUC